GCGGGAGUAGCUCAGUUGGUAGAGCAUCUGCUUGCCAAGCAGAAGGUCGCCGGUUCGAGCCCGGUCUCCCGCUCCA
rnacentral:tRNA from 1 species